AAUACUAUGUCUGAUUUAAGUAAUAAAUUGUAAAUUUAUUUAAGAAAUGUAAUAAAUUUCUAGUAUUA
rnacentral:tRNA from 1 species